GAAAAAGUUGGUGGUGAAAUCCCAGAGCUUAACUCUGGAACUGCCAUCAAAACUUUUCAGCUAGAGUAUGAUAGAGGAAAGCAGAAUUUCUAGUGUAGAGGUGAAAAUUCGUAGAUAUUAGAAAGAAUACCAAUUGCGAAGGCAGCUUUCUGGAUCAUUACUGACACUGAGGAACGAAAGCAUGGGUAGCGAAGAGGAUUAGAUACCCUCGUAGUCCAUGCCGUAAACGAUGUGUGUUAGACGUUGGAAAUUUAUUUUCAGUGUCGCAGCGAAAGCGAUAAACACACCGCCUGGGGAGUACGACCGCAAGGUUAAAACUCAAAUGAAUUGACGGGGACCCGCACAAGUAGUGGAGCAUGUGGUUUAAUUCGAAGAUACGCGCAGAACCUUACCAACACUUGACAUGUUCGUCGCGACUCUAAGAGAUUAGAGUUUUCGGUUCGGCCGGACGAAACACAGGUGCUGCAUGGCUGUCGUCAGCUCGUGUCGUGAGAUGUUGGGUUAAGUCCCGCAACGAGCGCAACCCUCACUUUUAGUUGCCAUCAUUUAGUUGGGCACUCUGAAAGAACUGCCAGUGAUAAGCUGGAGGAAGGUGGGGAUGACGUCAAGUCCUCAUGGCCCUUACGUGUUGGGCUACACACGUGCUACAAUGGCAUCUACAACAGGAAGCAAAACGGCAACGUUAAGCAAAUCCCGAAAAGAUGCCUCAGUUCGGAUUGCACUCUGCAACUCGAGUGCAUGAAGCUGGAAUUACUAGUAAUCGUGGAUCAGCGUGCCACGGUGAAUGCGUUCCCGGGUCUUGUACACACCGCCCGUCACACCAUGGGAGUUGGUUCUACCUUAAGGCAAGGUUUUAAACCCUUGACCACGGUAUAGUCAGCGACUGGGGUGAAGUCGUAACA
rnacentral:rRNA from 1 species